rnacentral:miRNA from 1 species
CAGGUGCCAGCUCCUCCCUUC